ensembl:lncRNA
UGCAGAGAUUAGAAUUUGUCCCAAGUGAUUCCAAUGUGCUACCAGGAUGAAAAGCUACCAGCCUCCUCAUUUCCUAUACCUUGUCCCGGGAUCAGCAUCAUCAACCUCACCUGAAAACAUGCUAAAAAUGCAAACUUUCGGGCUCUACCCCAGACCUACUGAAUCAGAAACCUGGGGGGUGGGGCCCAGGAAUCUGUUAUAACAAGCCCUUCAGGUGAUUCUGGUAAAUGCUAAUGUUUGAGAGCCCGUGUAUUAGUGUAUAGUAACAAAGAAAGGAAAUGGUUAGUGCCAAGUGAGUGACAUGCGGCUUCUAAGCCCCAUCCGUAUAGGAGUUCACUGGAUUUGGGCCACUAGGGAGAGCUCUACAUCAGAUCUCCAGGCAUUUAGAUCCCAGAGGUCAGGGACCCCUGAAGAAGUAGAGGGAAAUAAUCCCACAUUGGAUCACAGCCCGUUUCAUAAUUUCAAGAAGAGAUGGAAAGCUGCAUGAUACGGUUGUUCCAAUAUCCAAGCCAAAGCAACAAAUGACCUUCAGAAUCCCAGGUACCUUCAGGAAGUUGGAAACAAUAUCAGUGGCAGAGAGGUGAAUUCUCCUGCUAUGGAAGAAAGGAGGAAGGAAUGGCUCAUUGUGAAAACAUGAUCCUGCCCCCUUUCAGAGAAAAUAGAUAAUGCCAGGGGCCCUGUUUCCUUUCCUCAUUCAACAAGCUUCACAGAGUGCUUCCCAUAUGCCAGGGAUCAUGUUAGUCAUUGGGAAUACAUCUGGAAACAAAACGCAAUCCCUGUCUAGGCAGAGAGGAAGAGUCAAAGGAACCCACAAAAUGCAUAUUACUUCAAGGUGUUUCUUCAUUCCCAGGAAACCACACUUUGCUAGCAGGGUCUUUAAAAAGGCACUCUGUUCAGAUUUAGGACAUAGUAAGUGGACAAGGGGAACUGGAUUUUACACAAGGGAUGAGUGUGGUGAUCCUCCUCACAGUCUAAAGAAUCCAGCCCAUGAUAUAAACCUGUAUAAAUCCAUACAUAGGUUCUUAACCAAGAACUCACAAAUAAGUAUCCUUUAUUUAAUUAUUUCAUUAUUUAUUUG